rnacentral:rRNA from 1 species
UAGGGAAUCUUCGGCAAUGGACGAAAGUCUGACCGAGCAACGCCGCGUGAGUGAAGAAGGUUUUCGGAUCGUAAAACUCUGUUGUUAGAGAAGAACAAGGACGUUAGUAACUGAACGUCCCCUGACGGUAUCUAACCAGAAAGCCACGGCUAACUACGUGCCAGCAGCCGCGGUAAUACGUAGGUGGCAAGCGUUGUCCGGAUUUAUUGGGCGUAAAGCGAGCGCAGGCGGUUUCUUAAGUCUGAUGUGAAAGCCUUCGGCUUAACCGGAGAAGUGCAUCGGAAACCAGGAGACUUGAGUGCAGAAGAGGACAGUGGAACUCCAUGUGUAGCGGUGAAAUGCGUAGAUAUAUGGAAGAACACCAGUGGCGAAGGCGGCUGUCUGGUCUGUAACUGACGCUGAGGCUCGAAAGCAUGGGUAGCGAACAGG